CAGGCUGGGAGCGCUGCACGGAAAACAAAUCAAGAUUCAACUCGGCAGGCACGCGUCAGUUUUAUCCCUCACGUUGUUGCGAUUAGCCAAGCAGAGGCAAGUGUUCCGCUAUGGCAGAUCGAGUACCCACAGAGAAGGUCAUCAUCAAGGGCAAGACGGUUGAAGUGGUUUCGGCGGGGAUGGAAAACAACCCCAAUGUUGCUCUGGAAAUAUGCAACCAAUCAAAAUACAAUCUUAAAAGAUUGAGGACAUAUCUGGUCUCCGGAAUGGCUGAAUAUCCACCACACCAAGAUAUACAAUCUGGAGAAAAGAGCGCUUGUGGCUUUUGCAAGCGUCUGUUUGGCAUGUUCGGGUGUUAUGGAUUGCUGUGCUAUUCCAUUCAGAACGAAAAUAAAGAACUGAACAUUAUGUUCUGCAAUCCAUAUGUUCCCGCAUUUUAUUACAGAAAAAUGGCCAUACAGCUAUACAACACCGACAGAGACACAAUACCGGACACAUUACUGACUGAGAUGUACAAUUGUAAGGAAACAUCGGAGUCUUUUCAAAAAGUGAAUGCUGGAGCUCCCAUUGCCACACUUAAAGACGAUGCAUUACAACUCAAAGUGACGGCCACAAUGAUGAAUGCCAAAUGUUCCAUCAUCCGUAUACAUCUGACGAAUAUGUAAACAGUUGUUAUCUCGUGGCUAAAACAGAAAAUAAGAGAAUAGACAAAGAAGACAGAUCAGGACCCCCUUGCAUUUGGCCGUUGUAUGUGGGGCCAUUAUUUAAGCGCCAAUAAAUGCACUUUGUUACAAAAUAAAAAAUAUUAUGUAAUCGUUGUCGUCACCAUCAUCACCACCACUUACGCCACCGUCACUUUCAUCAAUCUUUGUAUGUACGCUUCACCUGGGAAAAUUAUUCUUUGGCGGCUGCUUUAAAUUUCCACGUGAUGAUAAGCCAGAGUUGAGCUAUCGUUUGUGAUAGCCAGGUCGCUUCUGGAAAUAAAAUGCUCAGCUCAGUGGGACAUGCAUUCGUAAAUCGAAUGGUUCGUAAGUUCGAACACAAAAAUGGACUUUAUUUAAAUGCCCAUACUGUCAACAUUAUGAAAUGUGUUACGGUUCAACAAAAAAGGGAAGCAUUGUUAAAUUCAUUAAUA